GCCGUUAAGUGGCCAUUUAGAGUCAUUAUCCAAAGGAUAUUGAGGCCAGAUCUGAUUGCACAAGCAUAUAUGUUUUGGGGGGUUUAGGUCCUGGUGAGAGAGAAACUAGGUUAGCCAGGAGGCAGCCUAGAGGACUAUGGGAGGGAAUGGAUGAGGAGCCACCCAUGGUGAGACGUAGGAGGUGAGUUUAGAGGAGGGGCAUCCCUCAGUCUCUAGUAUCACCUAGUCGAGAGGAUGGUUACGCUCAGGGGUCGUCACCACCGCUGUGUAAGUGUCAGGGCAGGAGCCCAUAGAGGCACUUGAGCACCUGGCUAGGACUACGUAGUAGGGGCAGAAGCCUGUAGAAGGGGCAAAAGCCCAUAGAGAUUAACCCACAGCCAAGAGGUAGUCUCACCAGGAACAACUCCUAAUCACCUCUGGUGUUUUUUUCUCAAAACCCAGGACCCAAAUAUAGCUUCAGGUGACAGGAGGGAUCAGCUGUAGCUGAGAAAGCUGUGGCUGGGGGUGCCCUCACCACACAGUAACCCUGGGAGUACCAGAGGAUCAACGGACACCUCCCAGGAUCUGUAGGUCGUUUAGGUCGACCAGAGACAGUCUUAUCUGAAAUGUCCAGUGGUGAGUGCAGAGAGGGCAUUCGGCAGAAUGGAGAGCCUGGUCCCACGAUGGAAUCCAGAUUGGGGCCCAGGCAUGCUCAGUGACCCUCGAAGAAGGGAGCCGGCUCACCAUGGAACUCGAUCCUAGGUAUCAGCACCAAAAUGAAAGGAAAAUGAGAAAGCAAGAGAUGGGCGAGUGAGAAAUGAAGGAUGGAGACCAGGCAGAGAUACACACAAAGGUUUAUUUGUCAAAGCUGACAAAUAAAGCCCAUCUCUAUAGAGAGGAGAGAGGCCCCAAGAUGUUCAGGUGUUCAGCUUUUGUGGGAUAGGGGUUUGGAGUUGUAGCAGUGGUGCUAUGGGAUAGGCUCAGGGGUGCUUGUGUCAGAGCUAGGGAAGUGGGGAUAGCAU
rnacentral:lncRNA from 1 species